UACAGAGGUCUCAAGCGUUGUUCGGAUUCAUUGGGCGUAAAGGGUGCGUAGGCGGCGCGGUAAGUCGGGUGUGAAAUCUCGGAGCUUAACUCCGAAACUGCAUUCGAUACUGCCGUGCUUGAGGACUGGAGAGGAGACUGGAAUUUACGGUGUAGCGGUGAAAUGCGUAGAUAUCGUCAAGAACACCGAUAGCGAAGGCAGCUUACCAAGCUGUAACUGACACUGAGGCACGAAAGUGUGGGGAUCAAACAGG
rnacentral:rRNA from 1 species